UACGGGGGGGGCAAGCGUUGUUCGGAAUUACUGGGCGUAAAGGGUGCGUAGGCGGCUCUCUAAGUCGGAUGUGAAAACUCUGGGCUCAACCCAGAGCCUGCAUCUGAAACUGGAGGGCUAGGGUGCUGGAGGGGAAAGCGGAAUUCCUGGUGUAGCGGUGAAAUGCGUAGAUAUCAGGAGGAACACCGGUGGCGAAGGCGGCUUUCUGGACAGUAACCGACGCUGAGGCACGAAAGCUAGGGGAGCAAACAGG
rnacentral:rRNA from 1 species